UGCAGUAGCACAGUGGCAAAAUACUCGCUAAGAUAAACAGAGUAAAAGAAAUAUUAAGUGCAAGUAAAGUUGGAAAAUUUUGCGAUAAGUUACGAGAAAGAAAGUCAAGAAAAGUCAAGAAAAGCGAAUCGAGAAAACGAAAUGAAGUUCUUUGGUGGUGCUUUCCUGAUACUUGUGACAAUGAUGUUAAUCUUGGUGCCACUGACAGUCGGUCAAAAGAAUAAGGAUGUAUAUACACAACCCAAGAUAGAGACACCCUGUACUGAAUGUAAGGUACAAUCUACAAGCAUUAUAGAUGCACCUAAAAUAACAACCGCAAGUCCAUGUCCGGAGGGCCAGAGACAGGAUUCCAGUGGAGUAUGUCGUUCACCCAUGUAACGAUCAAAAAACACAGGCUUGUAGAUAUCAACAUUUCAGCAAUAUCAACUAAAAGCGAGACCUAAAAAUAUCGUCUCAACAAACAGAAAAGUGAAAAUACACACUAUACGUUUUGUAUUCAUCAGGA